UACGUAGGGUGCAAGCGUUGUCCCGGAAUUAUUUGGGCGUAAAGAGCUUGUAGGCGGUUUGUCGCGUCUGCUGUGAAAAUCCGGGGCUCAACCCCGGACUUGCAGUGGGUACGGGCAGACUAGAGUGUGGUAGGGGAGACUGGAAUUCCUGGUGUAGCGGUGAAAUGCGCAGAUAUCAGGAGGAACACCGAUGGCGAAGGCAGGUCUCUGGGCCACUACUGACGCUGAGAAGCGAAAGCAUGGGGAGCGAACAGGG
rnacentral:rRNA from 1 species